rnacentral:rRNA from 1 species
UACGUAGGGUGCGAGCGUUGUCCGGAAUUAUUGGGCGUAAAGGGCUCGUAGGCGGUUUGUCGCGUCGGGAGUGAAAUCCACUGGCUUAACUGGUGGCUUGCUUUCGAUACGGGCAGACUGGAGGUAUGCAGGGAAGAACGGAAUUCCUGGUGUAGCGGUGAAAUGCGCAGAUAUCAGGAGGAACACCGGUGGCGAAGGCGGUUCUCUGGGCAUGUCCUGACGCUGAGGAGCGAAAGUGUGGGGAGCGAACAGG